ACACGCUACUCUCUCUCAGUGUCCUCUGCCUCUCAUCUAUCCCUUCUCUUUCAUCUCUCUCCUCUUGCAACCACCGCCAUCGGGACGCCGCCGACCACCGACCAUCUCUCCUCUUGCCAUCAUUCUCUCUCGACGAACUACCGACCACCUUGCCUCUCCUCUCACCUUCUCUUUUUUUUUUAAUUUAUAAUAAUCGUGUAUUUGUAUAGCUGUGUAAAAACCCUAGGUCAUGUCUCCGUCUUCUUCAAUUCAACCUUGGGUUUGAUUUUGAUUCGAUUAGUGUUUUGAUGUUUCAGAUUAGACAGAGAACAGACACACACACACAUAGAGAGAGAGAGAGAGAGAGAGAUAGAGAGAUAGAGAGAGAAUGGACGAUAGCUGUGCGUUGUGCGCCCUCCAUCGUCACUACCGUCGUCCUCAAUCUCCCUCCCCCGCCACCUCUAUCGCGUUUCGUCUUCCUCUUCAUCUCAUCCAGGGUGCGAAAGCCAUUGUCACGCAGAGAUCUGUAACACGAAGCGAUCUCAACCAUGGCGGCUUCAGAUCCAGGCUCCACAGAAACUAACCAUCGGUGAAGAUCUCACCAGACGAGAGGCUUGUGCUUAAGGUUACUCUGAUAAUGCCGAAAAGGCCAUUACCUGAACCAUCAUCGUUACUCUCAUCGAAAAGGUAAUAUCCAACAUGAGGGUGCUGAUGACUGAAGAUUCAAACAAUGCUGUCAGCAAUUCUAUUUUGCUGGAUGACGAUUCAAGUUGAUGACAUCUCAAAAUCAAUGGAUCAAAUUGACAUUUCGGACAUAGAUCCACCACAGCUUAUUCAUGAAAAUUCAGGAUUCAGUUUCUUGUUACCGUGUGCCGACUGAUCACCUUUUCAUAGUUGUCUGUCUUGUCGCUUGGAGGAUUAGUCCAAGGUAACUUUCUUACGCUUAUUCAGCUAGGUGGGGCAUUGUUUACAAAGCCAAAAUCAGCGAAGGGAUGAACUAACGAAGAGGAAAGAAAGGGAAGUUUUCUAUCCAAAUAAGAGAACAACAAAACCACUCAAAAUUCACCUGGAAGUGGUUUUUGGGAAGAAUUAUGGGGUGUUUAGUUGUGUGGAUAACUAGUUACUUAAAGAAAAUGUAUCCUCUUAACUGUUAGUGAUUUGGAUUGAAUUCCCACCUGAUAAUUGUUAGGUUUCAACAUUAAAUGAAGAAGAAGAAGAAGAAGAGGAAGAAAAAUUGUUAGAGGUCUCUACCAUUCAUAUUUUUAGUGUAAAACAUGCUUUAUGAGAAUGUGACUACGAGUAACAACCCACAUUUUGUCUUUCUAUGAUUGUGCCUUCUGCAACUAAGUGACAUGGCAGAAUCGGAGGGGAUGAAAGAUAAUGACUACAACACUUGCACCACACUAUGAUAUUGUAUAAAGCAUAAAGUGCAAAUAGUAAAUCAAAGCAAUUCUUUUCGACAAAGUCAAAUUAAAUUCAGGUACAUCAUUAUAUGUUCUUUUCCUUUCAUAUUAAGUAGACUUGUACCAGUUUUGAUAGUUUUAAUUUGUGUUGUCAGCAGAAAUCCAUAUUCUUUUCAUACGUUUGUGAGGUACUGAGAUAAUGUUAUGAUGAAGUUGUAGUGUACUUCUGUCUCUCAUCAAUUGAAUUCUAAUUCAGAUGACCACACCAUGCUCUUUUUUUUUUUUUUUGGACAUAAAGAACUACACUUCCAUAUUUUUAGUCAAAAUAAACUGAUAGUUUCUACAAAGAUUUGUACUCACUCCCCCAUUGAGUACAUUAUUGUGUACAAGGACAAGUUCCAUUAGAAGUCGACUAUUAAUUUUGACUACGUAUUUAACCAGUAUUUCUGGGCAAGGUCAUGUGGUAAUCCCAACUUGUUAUUGAUUGAAACAUGAAGCCUUGGUAUUUUUAUGUUGAGUUUUGAAAGAUAACCAACUUGUUAUUGAUUGAAACAUGAAGCCUUGGUACUUUUAUGUUGAGUUUUGAGAGAUAAGAGGACAAAUAACAGAGUAUAUGGAGUAUAUUCAAAUCUACCAAAUAAAUUCCUAAUAGAAAAUAGGAAACUACUCCCUAAAAAUAAGAAAUUAAAUAUUGAUAAGAUAGUAAUUAAGCUAUAAUUAAAAAUAAAAUAAGUAAAUUUUGCAGUCUUGGACAAGGAUGUAGGUACAUGUACAGGAAUGAAUUCUUGGAUCAUCCUUUGAUAUGGGCAACAGUUACUAUGUAUUUACCCCAAGUUGUGAUCAGCUAGUGACUUGAAUUCAUUUUUAUCUUUGCAGGAUUUCAUAAUGAUGGAUCCCUCGUCAUUGUAUGCCAGUUCCAGGAAUUUUUCUGAUCAAUAUGGAAACAUAAGGCUAGACAUCGACGACAUAAGUUAUGAGGUGGUUAAAUUUAACUGUUAAAAAAGUCAUUUUUGUAGUCUUCCCCAACUAUUACUAAUGUGAAGUUGGCUUUGGACAAGAACUUCUUGCUCAAGGAGAAAGGAUAGGGAAUGUCAACACUGGCUUGUCUGAAGAUAUGACUUCAAAGUGUUUGACAGAAACAAAGAUCUAUUCAGAUCGAAACAAUGAAGAAAGAACCUGUUGCAUCUGUCUUGUAAGUUAUUACCAUAUCUUGCCUCUCUGAUGUGACCCAAAAAAGGUAUAAGGUUUCAUCUGUGAUUGAUACCCGAAAAAUAAAGAACAUGUCUAUGAUUAUCAUAAGAUGGAAAACGGUGUCUAAAGAAACUUGCAUUUUAGGCAUCAUCUUUAGUGUGUUAGGUUUGACGAGAAUCUUGCUAUAUUAGCUCUUGAAAUGACCUGCUUUUAAUGUAGUUUUGCGUAUUUGCUUUUUAAAAUUGCGUUAGGAUUGUAAAAAUGUAGUAGCUGUUGAUAUGAGAAGUCGAUGGAACUAUUUUGAUUA